UACAGAGGGGGCAAGCGUUGUUCGGAAUUACUGGGCGUAAAGGGCGCGUAGGCGGCCUUCUAAGUCGAACGUGAAAUCCCCGGGCUCAACCCGGGAACUGCGUCCGAUACUGGAAGGCUUGAAUCCGGGAGAGGGAUGUGGAAUUCCAGGUGUAGCGGUGAAAUGCGUAGAUAUCUGGAGGAACACCGGUGGCGAAGGCGACAUCCCGG
rnacentral:rRNA from 1 species